ACAGGCGUGAGCCACCUCACCUGGCUGUUAAUUUUUCUUUAAAAAUGUAUCUUAUGCUUAUGAAAUUUGUUUUCUAUGAGCCAAAUCGAUCUGUAGUACCUAACCUUGAUAAGAAGGUAAGAAAUUUCAACAAGCUAUGAUUUUGGGGGUGUAAAAAAAAAAAUAAAAAAAAAAAAAAUAAAAAUAAAAAAAAAAAAGAAGGUAAGAAUUUUCUAAGCAUAUAGUGUAAAAUUUUGUUUCAGUGUUUUGCUACACUAUUUGAAGAGAUCUUUUAAAAUUUAUAUAUGGGGGAAAUGCAGGCUUUUCACACAAAAGGAAAAUAAAAGUAAUUUUGAACAUUAUAAUUUAAAUUUUAUGAUAGAAUUUGUAUGACAUGAAAAAUAAGCAAAAUUAAAAUACACUUUAAUUAAAAAUAUGUUUUAACCAAGGAAAUAGAACACAUAUUCUAUGUGAUGGAUUUUUAUUAGAAUUUCAAUGUUUUAUUCCAGAGAUGUAAUAUUAUUUUAAAUUCCUCAAAAGGUCAUUUAAAAAGUUAGCAUACGUCUUUCUAAACAUAAGAUUUAAAAGCCUGUUUCGAGCGCGGUUCUGCGUCUCCAGCUGAUGCACCUGCUCGGUCGGUCGUUGAGGCCCUGCCGACCCUGCCGCUGCUCCUCGCUGGGGCGGAGGAUCCUGUACUCGCCGGAGCCCGGCGUUAGGCCGGGCCCAGGCCAAGCGUCGAGGCCGAGGAGCAGGCGGCUGAGGAGGCCAAUUGCAGCGGGACAGCGACCGGGAGCGGAAGCUGCCCGAGCCACCGGCCCCAGAAGGGCGCGCGGACAGGCGAGAGCCAUCCCCGAACACCUUGCGGUAGGAGGAGGCGGGGCACAGGUAGUGCUCCGAGCCGAAGCUCAUGGUGCUGGGAGCAGGGCCCGGUGUGCGGCUGCUGCUGGAGCUACAGAAGAAAGGAGAGAAUUCAGCCAUAUAAUUAAAAUGACAGCCUCCUGGAGUGAUCGGUUGCAGAAUGCAGCAGAUCUGCCUGCUGGCAUGGGUAAGCAUGCUUUGAAAAAGUACCGUCGAGAAGCCUAUCAUCGGGUGUUUGUGAACAGAUUUUAGCCAUGGAGAAAAUAAAGUGUUUUGGUUUUGAUAUGGAUUACACCCUUGCUGUGUACAAGUCCCCAGAGUAUGAAUCCCUUGGCUUUGAGCUUACUGUGGAAAGAUUAGUUUCUAUUGGCUAUCCCCAGGAGCUACUCAGUUUUGCUUAUGAGUCUACAUUCCCUACCAGGGGGCUUGUCUUUGACACACUAUAUGGAAAUCUUUUGAAAGUUGAUGCCUAUGGAAACCUCUUGGUCUGUGCACAUGGAUUUAACUUCAUAAGGGGACCAGAAACUAGAAAGCAAUAUCCAAAUAAAUUUAUCCAACGAGAUGACACUGAAAGAUUUUACAUUCUGAACACAUUAUUCAACCUACCAGAGACCUACCUGUUGGCCUGCCUAGUAGAUUUUUUUACUAAUUGUCCCAGAUAUACCAGCUGUGAAACAGGAUUUAAAGAUGGGGACCCCUUCAUGUCCUACCAGAGUAUGUUCAGGAUGUAAGAGAUGCUGUUGACUGGGUUCAUUAUAAGGGCUCCCUUAAGGAGAAGACAGUUGAAAAUCUUGAGAAGUAUGUAGUCAAAGAUGGAAAACUGCCUUUGCUUCUGAGCCGGAUGAAAGAAGUAGGGAAAGUGUUUCUUGCCUCCAACAGUGACUGUAUAUAUACAGAUAAAAUUAUGAUUUACCUGUUCGAUUUCCCACAUGGCCCCAAGCCUGAGAGCUCCCACCGACCAUGGCAGUCCUACUUUGACCUGAUCUUGGUGGAUGCACGGAAACCACUCUUUUUUGGAGAAGGCACAGUACUGCGUCAAGUGGAUACCAAAACUGGCGAGCUGAAAAUUGGUACCUACACAGGCCCCUACAGCAUGACAUCGUCCACUCAGGAGGUUCAUCUGAUACAAUCUGUGAUCUGUUCGGAGCCAAGGGAAAAGACAUUUUGUAUAUUGGAGACCAUAUUUUUGGUGACAUUUUAAAAUCAAAGAAACGCCAAGGGUGGUGAACUUUCUUGGUUCUUCCUGAACUUGCACAGGAGCUGCAUGUCUGGACUGAUAGGAGUUCACUUUUUGAAGAGCUUCAGAACUUGGAUAUCUUCUUGGCUGAACUCUGCAAGCACCUUGACAGCAGUAGCAGUGAGCGCCCAGACAUUAGUUCCAUCCAGAAACGUAUUAAGAAAGUAACUCAUGACAUGGACAUGUGCUAUGGGAUGAUGGGAAGCCUGUUUCGCAGUGGCUCGCGGCAGACUCUCUUUGCCAGUCAAGUGAUGUGUUAUGCUGACCUGUAUGCAGCCUCUUUCAUCAACCUGCUGUAUUACCCAUUCAGCUACCUCUUCAGAGCUGCUCAUGUCUUGAUGCCUCAUGAAUCAACAGUGGAACAUACACAUGUAGCUAUCAACGAGAUGGAGUCUCCCCUCGCCACCCGGAUCCACACAUCAGUGGAGUUCAAAGACACCGACUGUAAGCAGUAUCAGCUGACUUGGUCGAUUAGUGAGAUUAAACCCCCCAACCUCUUCCCACUGGUCCCCCAGGAAGUUAUACACUGCCAUGAUGAAGAUGAUGAUGAAGAAGAGAAAGAAUAAAGAGGAAAACCAAAACCCUGAGCCCCCAUUAAACAAGUUCUGGCAAGACUUACAAGGAGCAAAGGAUGCCCCUGUUUGGGUUCUACUGGGGUACAGGGGCAGGAGGAUUUUAUCAAAGGUACGCCUGGAAAGUUUCUGAAGACUUUAAAAUAGUCUAAUCAUAGAGGGAUACCUGUUGUAGUUUUGUGUAUCUGUAUUCUUUGCAGAUGGUUCAAAAUUGUAAUGGAGUCUAUUAUGGAAGAAAGAGUAAAAAUCAGGCUGAACUGCAUGCAGAUGGCUCCAUUGUGGCGUGUGCCACUGUUUCCUUGUCUUUUUUCACCAGUAUGUCAUAUACUAACGGGGUGAAGGGUCUCAGAGUAGAACAAGAAGGACGAUGGGAAGACGUGACCCAAAAUGCUGUAAUGUUACAAAUUGUGCUAUAACUCCAAAAUCUAACUUUUUCAGUGCAUUACACAGUAUUAUAUCUCAGUGGAGAAAUAUAUUGUUUCCAUUAUCAAAUGUAGUCUGCUGUUAAGGUCAAGUUUCCUUUUAUAUGCCUUUCCUCAGUGACUCUGGCGAGUCUACUUCUCUAGCAGUAGCUUUGCAGUAGUAUUCUCUGCUUGCUUUAGGGCUGGAUUGGACUACAGGGACUAUUUUGAGGUAAAAGACUGCAUCCUUUCUACAUUUUUUUGUUUGAUAGCAUAAAUGCUUAUUUUUUUUAAAUCCACAACCAGUCUUUUUUUCAUCUGUGAUAUAGAAAGAAUUAGCUGAAAGGACAAAGGAGCAAACCCCCAGAAAAAGAAAGGAGAAACCUCCUCCCUCCAUUACAACUGA